rnacentral:ncRNA from 1 species
ACGGAAGCUGAGAGAGGCCAAGACCGAGUCGGAAGAGAAGGCUCGGCCUCCCGACCUCAGAUUCCCAGCACGGGUCCCGGUACCCACGCGGAGCACAUACCGCGAUAAAGGUAAAAGUGUUGCGGGCCUGCGUAGUUGCGAAAAUCGGACGGCCCCGACGGUCCUUUGGGUAGGGCUGCGGUCGUAACGAGUCGCAAAGGCGCCGAGGCCACCCACGCAACCCAUACGGCACGCAUGGUAACCGUGCCCCGUGCUAGCGGGCGGUGAGCUGAUGUGGUCGCAAGGCCACGCGGAUCGCCGCCCGCUUCAUGUU